AAUGAGCGUAAAUAUUUUCAGGAUUGUUAUGCGCUAAGUUUAAGGAUUGUUUUGCGAUAAAUGAGGACUGAAUUGCGACCGGGACAUUUUUUACGAAUUGAAAUGGGGACUUUAUUGCGACCGGGACUGUUAGUCGAUUUUUUUCCGGGACUGUUUUAAGACAAUAAGGAUUCUUUCACGACUGUAGGGACUGUUUGUUAAUUGACAUAAGGAUUGUAUUGCACUUGAAAAAUAUAAAAUUUAAAACUAAUGCGCAUGUGCCAAGUUUGGAUUUAGAAAAGGGCUGCUUGUAAACUUAGAAACUUUAUAAACUAGAAAAAAACUGUGAAUGAUCUUUUUUAAUUUUACUUUCUAGAUUUUGUUCAUCUUUUGGAAAAUAUUGAUUUAAAAAAUGGUUUAAUAUCUGAAUUUGUUAUUUUUUCGGAAGUUGUUGAUGUAAAAAAAUGGUUCGAUAUCAGCUAAAAUGAAUUUGUUAAUCUAUUGGAAGUUAUUAAUGUAAGGAAAUGGUUCGAUAUCAGCUAAAAUGAAUUUGUUAAUCUAUUGGAAGUUAUUAAUGUAAGGAAAUGGUUCGAUAUCAGCUAAAAUGAAUUUGUUAAUCUAUUGGAAGUUAUUAAUGUAAGGAAAUGGUUCGAUAUCAGCUAAAAUGAAUUUGUUAAUCUAUUGGAAGUUAUUAAUGUAAGGAAAUGGUUCGAUAUCAGCUAAAAUGAAUUUGUUAAUCUAUUGGAAGUUAUUAAUGUAAGGAAAUGGUUCGAUAUCAGCUAAAAUGAUUUUAGAUAUUGUGGUUUAUCCUACUUUCGGCUAGUUGCCAUAGUUUGCCAGAAGUACGCUGAGACAAGUUCAGUUCUCUAAAGAGCAUCAUGACCUGCUCCGACGGUGAGUUGUAGGAAGAACGGAAAUAAAUUUAAGUAAAAGUCAGAAAAAGUCGUGUUAGAAAGAAUAGAGAAAGUGGACAUACAUUGCAUUGGCUGUUACGAUGUGCAGUUUAUAUACAGAUUUUAUGAAAGGAUGUGUUUUUUUUUGUUUUUUUGUUUUUUUGUUGUUGUUUCAGUCUAAAAUAUUUAAAUAGUAAAAGCUUUACAUUUUUUCCGUAAACA
rnacentral:lncRNA from 1 species